rnacentral:lncRNA from 1 species
UUGAUAAAUAGUGAUCAAACUUCUAAUACCUAACAGAACUAGUUUGGCAGGAGGUGGAUCAGCUGGAAACUAAAGUGUUUAGAGCCAUUCACAAUCAGGGGACAAUUGGAAAUUUAAAGGAGGCACUUAAACCUAAUGUCAAUCAAAGAUUAAAGUGACAAAGACUUUACAAAAUUAUAUUUUAACACAUUUUUUUUCAGGAACAAAACUACAGAGCUCACCUGUAUUGUCACCAAGUGGUGCUGGCAAUAAGGAGUCAAGAACCUUGGCUUGGAGAUACGGUGGAAAAAUAAUAGGUGCCAAGACAGACAAGAUAGAGGGCAGAUAAAGGCUCAUCCCUUGUUAAAUUGGAAGGAAUCUUUGCUAGGGCAGUUGGAAUCAUAAUAAAGGAAAAUGCAUGUGAGCUUUUGUUGCAAACAUUUAUUUUAAGAUUUAUUUAUUUAUUCAUGAG